rnacentral:rRNA from 1 species
CCACGCCGCGUGAGGGAUGAAGGCCUUCGGGUUGUAAACCUCUUUCACCAGGGACGAAAAUGACGGUACCUGCAGAAGAAGCUCCGGCCAACUACGUGCCAGCAGCCGCGGUAA